rnacentral:misc_RNA from 1 species
AUGCCUUUGCUAACAGUACAUUGCCUGCAGCGCUUCCCAGGGAGUCAUGACUACAUCGGUUGGACAGUUGACGACUGUAAAACCGUCGCCUUGUCAGUUUUAGGAUGCUGCGGUGGUCUAGAACUGACUGCCUACAUAUCACAAGGUGGACUACAUGGCCACAUAACUUUUCGGAGGUAUCAUGCAGACAACAGAAAAAUUCAUGUCCACACAUCACUCCAGACUGUCAAUGAAGUUUCCAAAUGGUCUUGGAGAAUACAUAAAUUUCCAGUUUAUUAUAGUACACUACAGGAUCGGUGCAAUGAUGAGAAACUUGGGCCAGUGUUGUUGAAUCUAGAUGACACUAUUGGACUUCUCGAAUUUCCUGUGAAAAACACCAGUGAUUUACUGAUACCCACAGAUUUGAUAUCAUUAACUGGUGAAAAAGGCUUAUGGGGCCGAUCUCUGUUGAUCUUUGAAGAGGGCUAUAGAAUCCAUGCUGCUUGUGGUACAAUUAGUGUUUCAGAUCAAACAGAUGAAAAACUGGCUGAAGCAAAAUUCUAUUCUCCAGUUGCUGGGUCUGUUUUCAUGCGGUGGAUUGGAAGCCUACAUUCUGAUUCCAUAGAUGCACUCAUUCACACCAAUCUUUACUGGGUAACUAAAGAGAAAGGAAGUCCAGAAAAAGAUACAAAACAUCACUGGAAGAUCUAUGCAACAGAUAUUUUAGAUGCAGAAGCAGGAAAGACAAGAAGCAACUGCAACUUUCUUCAGUUUGUGUUUAAUCCUGCAUCUGCAAAAGAAGGACAAACUGUUGGUGACAUUGAUAAACGGUUGGGUAAAGUGCAGAUUUCAGGCAGUCCAGACUCCAAUGUUAUAAACACCUACCAUGACUCAGAGUUAACAUCUGUACCAUUUGACUUAACAACAGGGCAACGGAGCCUGUACAUUGUAAUAUUUGACUCAAAACACCCAGACAGUUUUUUAGCAUGUGCAAGAAUUAGGCAAAUAACUCCUUACACACAGAAGGUUAUCAUGCAGUCUGAAGGAGUAUCUGGAGAAGUGACAUUCAGCCAGCGCUCACCAUUUGACCCGACAUGGCUACAUUUUAAUUUAUCAUCAUACAAUGAUAAAUUUCUUGGGAGGCCUUUCCAUCUGACAAAGUACAGGAUACAUGAACUGCCACCUCCAUCCUUUUUUGCUGAAAAAAGUGGCAAUAGAUGUUUUCAAACAGGCAAUGUGUACAAUCCGACUGAUAUCAAUCCAGAUGAUGGUUCUGCAAGCCAGGAUACAUAUGGUGUUGGAGAUCUUAGUGGAAAACAUAAUAUGUGGCGUGAAGAACAAACCUUUUCUGAUUUGAAUGGCAGGUACUGGGAUAUUUAUCUACCACUUCAAGGUCCAUACAGUGUUGCCCACAGAUCCUUAGUGCUUUACAAGGACACUAAAAAUGAGAGCAAUCCUAAUGAAAUAAUUUCAUUGCCAUGGAUAUGUGGGACACUCUCCCAUUACCAGGAGGGAAAGAACAAAUGGAAAGAGCCAAUGUUUACUGCUGCAGUUAUCUACAGGUAUCCAAUUGUAGGUCGUAUUGUCUUCCGUCAGCCAAAAGACAAACCUUGGGCUGAUACUACAGUGAUAGUGGAAUAUUUAAUACAUGCAGAUGGAACAUCACAAAAUAAUACUGAGGAACAUCGCUGGAUGGUGCAUGAUUUGCCACCUGGAAAAGAUUUCUAUAACUGGACUGGUCGCUGCUUGAGUGCUGGUCACGUAUACAAUCCAUUUGAGGUGAAUCUUCAAUCAAAAAAUUCUGAAUCACCAUGCACAUUAGAGAAAUCUGGCUAUUGUCGAGUAGGUGAACUAUCAAUACGUCAUGGCACACUAAGCAUUGCUGGACGCAAAUCUGAAAGUAAUAAAUUAACAUGCCGUCUGUAUACUGACACUCAUCUUCCUCUUUCUGGACCUGGAAGUAUACUUGGAAGGUCUCUAGUAAUUUAUGAUGACCAUGGGCCAAAAGCUAGAGGAGAACGUCUUGCAUGUUCACCGAUAACAGCAGUUUACAGGCGCAAAGCUGUUGUGAAAGAUUGGUUUGGCAAUGGUUUGUUGCCAUCUAUAAAAGGAAAACUAGAAUACUUCCAGCAAACUGAGUAUGAUAUCACCGACAUUGAGGCAAAUAUUGAAGGACUUGAAGACACAAAUGGUUUUCAUAUUCAUGUUGUACCUGUUGAUCCAAGUCUAGAAUUUCCAUGUGAAGCUUCAUCUUUGUAUGAUUACUAUAAUCCAUACAAUGUAAGUCUUCAUCUCUCUCCUGCACCUGCAACUGGAACAACAGACCAGUACCAGAUGGGAGAUUUAAGUGGAAAAUUUGGAACACUGGAUGGAUUAACAAGUCUCAACUCAGCGUUCAAUGACACACAUCUCCCACUCUUUGGUCCAUACAGUAUCAUAGGAAGAUCAGUUGUUAUCCAUAAAAAGAACAAAAACCACAGGUGGGCAUGUUCAUCAAUUGAACGUGGCUAUUCCCCUUCAGAAGCUCGAGAACUAAGAGCCAUUGCAUCAUUUCACCAUCCCUUGGGAUUUGCAUAUGGUUAUAUCAGAAUGACCCAACUGAUAUAUAAUGAUGGCAGCAAAAGUGACACAGUGAUCGAGGUGAAUCUGAGACAUCCUGGAAAAAAUGAUAGGAAUGUUACAAGGAAUCACAACUGGGCAAUAUAUGUAAACCCUGUGGGUGUGGAUGCUUCGGUUAAAGUUCUUAACACUAGAUGUGUAGCGGGAGGAUAUAUGUGGAAUCCAUAUUAUACCCAGCUUGCCGAUCCUUUGAAUGAAGAGCUGUACCGUCAAGAGUGUGGUCCUGACAACCCAUUACGUUGCUAUGUAGGUGAUAUUUCAGGACGCUUGAGUACAAUAGAUUUAGGCGAUAAAAGAAAAGUUUUUUCUGAUGUCAACUUUCCACUAGAAUUCUUUUGCGACUGCAGCUGACGAACGACAUGCUAGUGUGGUGAGACUGUGUAAACUCCACUGUGUUUUGGCAAAAGAAGCAAAUUUUAACAUGGCAACCACAGAAAUGUAAGGUGAUGUAUCAGCCAUAGGAAGAUCAAUUGUAAUUAUGAACAAGGAUCGUGGCUCAGAAAGAUUUGCAUGUGCAAAUAUAGAACCAGAUAAGGACAUCAUAAAAUAUGCCAACAUACAAAAACCAC